AAGAGCGGGGUUCAAAUGGAGAAAAGGAGACACGAGGUGUUUUCUGGAGAACGGGGUUCACAAUGGCGAUCGCAAGUUAUCGUCAGGCGACUGGGGUUCAAAUGGAGAAAAGGAGACACGAGGUGUUUUAAUGGCGAUCGCAAGUUAUCGUCAGGCGACUGGGGUUCAAAUGGAGAAAAGGAGACACGAGGUGUUUUCUGGAGAAUGGGGUUCAUUAUUUUGGCAAACAGGAGAACGGGGUUCAAAUGCAGUGAUCUGGGAUCGUUUGCGCAAGAAAAAU
rnacentral:lncRNA from 1 species